rnacentral:rRNA from 1 species
UACGGAGGGUGCAAGCGUUAUCCGGAUUUACUGGGUUUAAAGGGUGCGUAGGUGGGCAGGUAAGUCAGUGGUGAAAUCUCCGAGCUUAACUCGGAAACUGCCAUUGAUACUAUCUGUCUUGAAUUAUCUGGAGGUGAGCGGAAUAUGUCAUGUAGCGGCUGAAAUGCUUAGAUAUGACAUAGAACACCAAUUGCGAAGGCAGCUCACUACGGAUAUAUUGGCACUGAGGCACGAAAGCGUGGGGAUCAAACAGG